rnacentral:rRNA from 1 species
UACAGAGGGUGCGAGCGUUGUUCGGAAUUACUGGGCGUAAAGGGCUCGUAGGUGGUCAACUAAGUCGGACGUGAAAUCCCUCGGCUUAACCGGGGAACUGCGUCCGAUACUGGAUGACUUGAGUUCGGGAGAGGGAUGCGGAAUUCCAGGUGUAGCGGUGAAAUGCGUAGAUAUCUGGAGGAACACCGGUGGCGAAGGCGGCAUCCUGGACCGACACUGACGCUGAGGAGCGAAAGCCAGGGGAGCAAACGGG